GAGGGUACAGCUCAGUGGUAGAGCACAUGCUUAGCAUGCACGAGGUCCUGGGUUCAAUCCCCAGUACCUCCA
rfam:Camelus ferus unplaced genomic scaffold scaffold550, whole genome shotgun sequence.